UAUAUUUGAGUAUUAAGUGUACUUUAAUUUUUGAUAUUAAGAGAAAUAGUUAAAUUCUAUUAAAUAUAA
rnacentral:tRNA from 1 species